rnacentral:rRNA from 1 species
UACAGAGGGUGCAAGCGUUGUUCGGAAUUAUUGGGCGUAAAGCGCGUGUAGGCGGCAGUGCAAGUCGGGUGUGAAAGCCCUCAGCUCAACUGAGGAAGUGCGCCCGAAACUGCAUUGCUUGAGUACCGGAGAGGAUGGCGGAAUUCCCGAAGUAGAGGUGAAAUUCGUAGAUAUCGGGAGGAACACCGGCGGCGAAGGCGGCCAUCUGGACGGAUACUGACGCUGAGACGCGAAAGCGUGGGUAGCAAACAGG